rnacentral:misc_RNA from 1 species
GAAAUGCGAUAAUUAAUGUGAAUUGCAGAAUUCAGUGAAUCAUCGAGUCUUUGAACGCACAUUGCGCCCCCUGGUAUUCCGGGGGGCAUGCCUGUCCGAGCGUCAUUGCUGCCCUCAAGCACGGCUUGGGUGUUGGGCUUCCGUCCCUGGCAACGGGGACGGGCCCAAAAGGCAGUGGCGGCACCAUGUCUGGUCCUCGAGCGUAUGGGGCUUUGUCACCCGCUCCCGUAGGUCCAGCUGGCAGCUAGCCUCGCAACCAAUCUUUUUAACCAGGUUGACCUCGGAUCAGGUAGGGAUACCCGCUGAACUUAAGC